rnacentral:rRNA from 1 species
AGCUGCGGCAGCGACACUGUGUGUUGUUGGGUAGGGGAGCGUUCUGUAAGCCUGUGAAGGUGUGUCGUGAGGCAUGCUGGAGGUAUCAGAAGUGCGAAUGCUGACAUAAGUAACGAUAAAGCGGGUGAAAAGCCCGCUCGCCGGAAGACCAAGGGUUCCUGUCCAACGUUAAUCGGGGCAGGGUGAGUCGACCCCUAAGGCGAGGCCGAAAGGCGUAGUCGAUGGGAAACAGGUUAAUAUUCCUGUACUUGGUGUUACUGCGAAGGGGGGACGGAGAAGGCUAUGUUGGCCGGGCGACGGUUGUCCCGGUUUAAGCGUGUAGGUGUG